UACGUAGGGUGCAAGCGUUAAUCGGAAUUACUGGGCGUAAAGCGUGCGCAGGCGGUUGGGCGAGACAGAUGUGAAAUCCCCGGGCUCAACCCGGGAACUGCGUCCGAUACUGGCAGGCUUGAAUCCGGGAGAUGGAUGCGGAAUUCCAGGUGUAGCGGUGAAAUGCGUAGAUAUCUGGAGGAACACCGGUGGCGAAGGCGGCAUCCUGGACCGGCAUUGACGCUGAGGCGCGAAAGCCAGGGGAGCAAACGGG
rnacentral:rRNA from 1 species